rnacentral:rRNA from 1 species
GACGAACCGUGCAAACGUUGUUCGGAAUCACUGGGCUUAAAGGGCGCGUAGGCGGGCGAGUAAGUCUGGGGUGAAAUCUUUCGGCUCAACCGGAAAAGUGCCUCGGAUACUGCUCGUCUGGAGGGAGGUAGGGGCAUGCGGAACUUCUGGUGGAGCGGUGAAAUGCGUUGAUAUCAGAAGGAACGCCGGUGGCGAAAGCGGCGUGCUGGACCUCUUCUGACGCUGAUGCGCGAAAGCCAGGGGAGCAAACGGG